AGCGAACGCUGGCGGCAGGCUUAACACAUGCUAGUCGAGCGGGCACUUCGGUGUCAGCGGCAGACGGGUGAGUAACACGUGGGAACGUACCCUUCGGUUCGGAAUAACGCUGGGAAACUAGCGCUAAUACCGGAUACGCCCUUUUGGGGAAAGGUUUACUGCCGAAGGAUCGGCCCGCGUCUGAUUAGCUAGUUGGUGGGGUAAUGGCCUACCAAGGCGACGAUCAGUAGCUGGUCUGAGAGGAUGAUCAGCCACACUGGGACUGAGACACGGCCCAGACUCCUACGGGAGGCAGCAGUGGGGAAUAUUGGACAAUGGGCGCAAGCCUGAUCCAGCCAUGCCGCGUGAGUGAUGAAGGCCUUAGGGUUGUAAAGCUCUUUUGUCCGGGACGAUAAUGACGGUACCGGAAGAAUAAGCCCCGGCUAACUUCGUG
rnacentral:rRNA from 1 species